rnacentral:rRNA from 1 species
AAUAUUGGUCAAUGGGGGCAACCCUGAUCCAGCCAUGCCGCGUGUGUGAAGAAGGUCUUCGGAUUGUAAAGCACUUUAAGUUGGGAGGAAGGGCUUUAGGCUAAUACCCUGAAGUUUUGAUGUUACCAACAGAAUAAGCACAGGCUAACUUGGUGACAGCAGACGCGGUAAUACAGAGGGUGCAAGCGUUAAUCGGAAUUACUGGGCGUAAAGCGCGCGUAGGUGGUUCAGUAAGAUAGGUGUGAAAUCCCCGGGCUUAACCUGAGAACUGCUUUCAUAACUGCUGAGCUAGAGUACGGUAGAGGGUAGUGGAAUUUCCUGUGUAGCGGUGAAAUGCGUAGAUAUAGGAAGGAACACCAGUGGCGAAGGCGACUACCUGGACUGAUACUGACACUGAGGUGCGAAAGCGUGGGGAGCAAACAG